GGGGGACGGGGGCGUGGGGGGGGGGGGGGGGGGGGGGGGGGGGGGGGGGGGGGGGGGGGGGCAAGCAGUUAAUCGUGGACUCAUCAGGCCUUGGCUGCCUGGUAGGUGAGCAAAAUCAGGAGCUAAAGGAGGCCCGGAAGGGAAAGCCAGGGGUUCUGGGCAAAGCAGAAAGCCAGGCGUGUCACAGUCAGUGAUGAGAGGGUGCGAGGGCAGCAGCACUGGGGUUUGGGAACCAGAGCCAGAGUCACAGGGCCCAGCAUUGGCUGCAGGCGCUCUAGGCACAGGGUGCUGGGGGGCAGGUGAGCUGGGCGGGGCUUCCAGAAAGCUAGGGCCUCACUUGGCUCAGAGUGAACAAGUCAGAAGGUAGCUCUGGUCUGUUUGAUGAGGCCGCAUGAUAAGACCAGCAUAGGUCCAUGUGUAGUAAGGUAGGUGGGCAGACCAUGGUUCUAAGUGCAGGGUGCUGGGGGCAGUGGUGUGCUCUGGGCACCACAGGAGCACUAGGAGCAGGCCCUCUAUGGGACAGGGAUAUUGGGGCAGGUGCACUGGCCAACCCACUAAGAGCAGAUCACGAGGCCAAGACUUUGCCCACCCAGGUUAAAGGCAGGUGCCAAAUGAGGCCAAGCACAAACAUCAGGUUGGAAAGCCAAUGCAUAACAGUAGUUGUGUAAGGGAGGUAUGCACAGACCCAGUGGGAUCUGUAGGGCAUGUAAGGCUUUGGGCCAGGGAAUUAAGGGUGAGGGGUGCCAUGGCAGUUAACCAAGCAUCGCUUGGGCCAUCCCUCAAAACUCAGUGGAUGAGUCCAGGAACAAAAUGAGGUCUGCCAGGUCUGGCCAGGUGUGAGGCCAAACCACAAAGCCUGUGUGUAAGCUGAAGUCGGUAAGGGUCAGGGCUUAAGAGAUCGCUCAUCACAGGGACAGGGACCUUACAAGGUCCCUGAGGCCAGGAUCUUGGGCCAGGCAGGUAAGCGAGGACUACAUAAACCAAAAUGUUAAACUGGAUGAGUGAAGAUCAGACCUGAGUGUGUAGAUCUAGUGCAUAAAACCAUGACGCAGGCCAAAGCAUAAAGCCAAAGUGGCAUAUGGGAGGUUGGUAAGGCAGCCAGGGUAGUGGCCAGUCUGGGAGGGGACAGUGUGCCAGGGCACCCUCAGGACAAGGGGACUCCAGCAUGAUGUAUAGGAGCAGCUGGAGGAGGCCAGGUGCCUUAGGUCAGGCACUUCACCAUGAAAUAAUGAGGUGAAGGUUUGAGUGAGGUGAGCAUAUUCAAGGGCCAAAGAAGCUCUGGUGCCUAACAUGAAGCCAGGUGUUUAAAGGAAGGUAGGUAAGGCAUGGCUCUGAGGGCAGGAGGAGCUCAGAGAAGGGCCAAUUUGGACAUGGUGCUGGAGGAAGAGGGCAUGUACAGGUGGUUUGGCCCAGGGUCAACACCCACAGUCAUUAGGCUUGGAUCAUUUAGGCUGAGUCCUUAAUGAAUAGGGUCAGGAAGAAAGUAAACCUGGUAGCUAAAGCUAGGUUUUAGGUUAAAAACCUCAAGGUAAGGCUGGAUGGAUAAAGUUAGCAGGGAAAGUCCAGGUAGUAAGGGGAUGGGCAAAGCUGUGUGGGUAAAACUCGAGUCCAGCUGAGUCAGGACAGGAGGGUGAUGAGGUCAGGUGGGUGUGGGUAGCAGGUCAAGGCUCAAUCCAUAGGAAGGCGGGAGUAAGCAGUCAGGAGUUACAGCCAGGUAGUUCCAGGACAGUGAGUUCAGGCCGUCAUGGCUGGAGCUUGAGAGAUGUGAGUGAAACCUAAGCAGUCACAGCUCAGAGCAGCGUGUCCUCUGCCCAGCUCCCUCGCGUUAACCUUCGGUCUCCCCCAGUUGUCCUGACACAGGAAGAGCUCCCAGCAGAGCACAGGAUGUACUCCAGGUCCCCUUAGUGCCCUCUGUGUCAUCCCCUUCACGGUCCAGUGGAGUGAGGCGGGACACAGCCACCUCACUGGGGCUGCAGCAGCGGUCAGGACGGCUCCCCUUCUCACCUGCUCGCUUGUUCAGAGUCAAGGUCACGCUGUCCCCAGGUCUUCAGGAGUCACUGAUGCUCCUGGCUCUCUGGGGCGAGCCUCACUUUGUAACUUGCGCAGGGUGGCUCUCAGGAGUGAGGUCGCCAGGGACUUCCUUGUGUACAGUGCUCCAUCACCGCUAGAAGGAAUGGAGGAAGAGACUUGGGAAAAUGCUCAGGGCCAGGGUCUGCAGGUGGAGGCCUCGGCUACCUGUGGUGGAAAAUGGCUUUCUCUUGGUCGUGGAGAGGGGCUGGGGUGGGGGCUGCGCCUCUGCCAGCAGCAGCAGGGCCCAGAGGAAGACGGGGUGGCUCAGGGUCUGCUUUCUGCCCAUGCUGAAUCCCACCUCAGUGGAACUCCAGCAGCACGGGCCCUGUGACAGAAGGACAGGGGCUGGGAUGUGGGCCACUCAAAUGGCCCACGACAGAGAAAUCAUGGAAGUCCUCUUUGGUGAUCAAAAAUAGAGUGAAUGCUGCUGCUGCGAGCCACCCAGUGGAAAGGCAGACUGGAACAUGAUGGUGUGUCCUCGUCCACCUUGUCCACCAGAUCGGGCAACAUGUGACACUGGCUCUUCCCAAAGACAAAACGACCGUGAAAGAAACAUUUUGAAUCCAUCCAGGACAUGGAGGCAGCCAUGGCUGCACAGCUAAAGGCACUCACAGAAGAGGAUUCCAGAAGUGCUUCAGACAGCGGCAAGAGUGAUGUCAAGUGAGGACUGUGGGGGGCAGUGGUCAUGUGCCUUUUACUGUAACGCAGUUUUAAAUUGAAGCAUUCACCAUAGUUUGUCACACCUCACAUCCUCAUGUUUAUAAUCCGCACCAUGUCAUUCCCCACCAAGAUCCCUUUGUUCUACAUACCAACACAGGCAGUGCAACAGGAACGCAAAUUGCUUUCUGCCAGCUGGAAAGCUCCUGGCAUCCUGAGGCCCAGUGCCCAUGCUGCACCAUCCACCUGUGCGUGGGAACCUUCAUCCCCAGUGCCCUCACCUCACAUGUCCAGUUGCAGGGCCAGUUGGCCCCAGAUGUUGCUCAGCUCACAUCCUAUCAUCUCCAUGCUCAGGUCCAGCUAUGAUGCGAACCUGGCAACCCCAAGCCAAGAAAUCUCAUGAGCGUAUCAGAGACCACUCCGGGAGCCACUGUCCCUUUGCUUUGCUUUGGGAGGGGAGACGUCCCUCCUGGCUCAGGGGCUGUGUCUCAGGCCGCCCCAGCUUGGCCCCCAGCACAACCCUCUCUUUAGAAGUUUCUCUUCUUCAUCUCACCCACAUGCUCCUUGAAGUCCUUGGGUCACCUGCCCAGGAGAGGCCAACCUGACCUCAGGAAAGUCUCCUAGGGGAUGUCAAGUCCAGCGGUAGUUGAAAACGAUAGGGCCCAAGAAGUAAAGGCAGCUGGUUGGCAAUGAAAUAAGAGAAUAGCCAGACAUGGUGGCAAAUCCACAGACAAGCACCAGUCUUGACAGUAGCCAGGCAGGGCAGCACACACUUGUGAUCCCAGCAUUCUGGGAGGCUGAGCAGGAGGAUCAUAAAUUCAAGCCUUGCC
rnacentral:lncRNA from 1 species